rnacentral:rRNA from 1 species
AUGGGUGCCGGACUAUAUGGGUACAUAGAUGAAACCAUACUCGAGCCAACCAAGACCAUCAUCACCAAAAAUUCAGAAGGAAAGGAAUCCAUCGUUCCAAAUCCUGCCUACAACCCAUGGCUGGUCCAGGACCAGCAGAUCAUCGCUUUCCUUCUUAGAAACCUAUCGAAGGAGGUACUAGUCCAGGUCGCAUCUUUAGAAACCUCUCAUGCCAUUUGGAGUGCCCUAGCCAACAUGUUUGCUGCCCAAUCCCUCUCGCAUGCAAACAACUACCGCAUAGCCCUCUCCAAUGCACAGAAAGGUUCCCAGAGUGCCACCACAUAUAAGCCUUCUCAGAUGAACUAG